rnacentral:sRNA from 1 species
GGAAGUUAUGUUAAUUCAAGAGAUGGAAUUACAUUCAAAGAAUAAUAUUUAAUAAAAGAACACUAAACUUUGUAAGGUCUUUCAACAAUAUAUUGCCAAACCCCAUAAGAGAACUCAAAUUGUGAAUCUACUUUGGUUUUUCAGAGUGGCAGCAAUUACGCUUAUUUGGAGCAGCUUGAGAGCUUGUCUGCGAAAGGACGCCCUAUCCCUGUGCGCCUUGAAGCACUGCCGCAAGUGGAAUCACAGGUAGCAGCAGCACGGGCAUGGAGAGAACGGACUGGGCGGACCUUUCUUAAGAAGAAUUCUAGCCAUACAUUGUUACAGGUGCUGAGCCCCCGGACUGACAUUGGUGUAUAUGGGAGUGGCAAAAAUAGGAGGAAAAAAGUAAAAGAACU